rnacentral:rRNA from 1 species
GAGUUCCUACGGGAUGCAGCAGUGGGGGAUAUUGGACAAUGGGGGGAACCCUGAUCCAGCGACGCCGCGUGAGUGAAGAAGUAUUUCGGUAUGUAAAGCUCUGUCAGCAGGGAAGAAAGAAAUGACGGUACCUGACCAAGAAGCCCCGGCUAACUACGUGCCAGCAGCCGCGGUAAUACGUAGGGGGCAAGCGUUAUCCGGAAUUACUGGGUGUAAAGGGAGCGUAGACGGUUAAGUAAGUCUGGAGUGAAAGGCAGGGGCC